rnacentral:rRNA from 1 species
UACACGACCGUACCGCAAACCGACACUGGUGCGCGAGAUGAGUAUUCUAAGGCGCUUGAGAGAACUCAGGAGAAGGAACUCGGCAAAUUGACACCGUAACUUCGGAAGAAGGGGUGCCUUUAGUAGGUGAACCAUUUACUUGGGGAGCCCAAUGAGGCUGCAAAAAAUCGGUGGCUGCAACUGUUUAUUAAAAACACAGCACUCUGCUAAGACGAAAGUCGACGUAUAGGGUGUGACGCCUGCCCGGUGCUGGAAGAUUAAAUGAUGGGGUGCAAGCUCUUGAUUGAAGUCCCAGUAAACGGCGGCCGUAACGAUAACGGUCCUAAGGUAGCGAAAUUCCUUGUCGGGUAAGUUCCGACCUGCACGAAUGGCGUAAUGAUGGCCACACUGUCUCCUCCUGAGACUCAGCGAAGUUGAAAUGUUUGUGAUGAUGCAAUCUCCCCGCGGAAAGACGGAAAGACCCCAUGAACCUUUACUGUAGCUUUGUAUUGGACUUUGAACAGAUCUGUGUAGGAUAGGUGGGAGGCUUUGAAGUGUGGUCGCUAGAUCGCAUGGAGCCAACGUUGAAAUACCACCCUGGUGUGUUUGAGGUUCUAACCUAGGUCCAUUAUCUGGAUCGGGGACAGUGCAUGGUAGGCAGUUUGACUGGGGCGGUCUCCUCCCAAAGUGUAACGGAGGAGUUCGAAGGUACGCUAGGUACGGUCGGACAUCGUGCUAAUAGUGCAAUGGCAUAAGCGUGCUUAACUGCGAGACUGACAAGUCGAGCAGAUGCGAAAGCAGGACAUAGUGAUCCGGUGGUUCUGUAUGGAAGGGCCAUCGCUCAACGGAUAAAAGGUACUCUGGGGAUAACAGGCUGAUACCGCCCAAGAGUUCAUAUCGACGGCGGUGUUUGGCACCUCGAUGUCGGCUCAUCUCAUCCUGGGGCUGUAGCCGGUCCCAAGGGUAUGGCUGUUCGCCAUUUAAAGAGGUACGUGAGCUGGGUUUAAAACGUCGUGAGACAGUUUGGUCCCUAUCUUCCGUGGGCGCUGCAGAUUUGAGGAAGCCUGCUCCUAGUACGAGAGGACCGGAGUGGACGAACCUCUGGUGUAUCGGUUGUCACGCCAGUGGCAUUGCCGAGUAGCUAAGUUCGGAAGAGAUAACCGCUGAAAGCAUCUAAGCGGGAAACUCGUUUCAAGAUUAGAUCUGCCGGGGCCUUGAGCCCCCUAAAGAGUCGUUCAAGACCAGGACGUUGAUAGGUCAGGUGUGGAAGCG